rnacentral:rRNA from 1 species
GACGAACGCUGGCGGCGUGCUUAACACAUGCAAGUCGAGCGGAAAGGCCCUUCGGGGUACUCGAGCGGCGAACGGGUGAGUAACACGUGAGUAAUCUGCCCUUGGCUUUGGGAUAGCCACCGGAAACGGUGAUUAAUACCGGAUAUGACAGCGUCACGCAUGUGGUGUUGUGGAAAGUUUUUCGGCCAGGGAUGUGCUCGCGGCCUAUCAGCUUGAUGGUGAGGUAAUGGCUCACCAUGGCUUCGACGGGUAGCCGGCCUGAGAGGGUGACCGGUCACACUGGGACUGAGACACGGCCCAGAAUCCUACGGGAGGCAGCAGUGGGGAAUAUUGCACAAUGGGCGCAAGCCUGAUGCAGCGACGCCGCGUGAGGGAUGACGGCCUUCGGGUUGUAAACCUCUUUCAGCAUCGACGAAGCGAAAGUGACGGUAGGUGCAGAAGAAGGACCGGCCAACUACGUGCCAGCCGCCGCGGUAAAAC